UGCUCAGCAUGCACAUGUUUGUUUUCGCCGUUCCCCUGGCCCCGGGAGUUUGGAUUGCCACUUACACUUGUUUUCGCGGAUGUUCUGUUGAACUCUCCCUUGGGGCUCACUUUCUCUGGGCGGCUGAUGAGGGGCGGUCCAGCCCGGGAGCGCUCCUGCAUCUAUAUUUUGUUCUGGGGUCCUGCAGGCUGGUUCAGAUUUUGUUUUAUCCUAAUUUGAGACCUAGUUGUCAAUUUGGUGUAUUUGUAUAUUAAAAACAUAUAGAUAAAUAGCACUUGGAAAUAACCAUAAAUAAAAAAUAGCUUUUGAAAUCCAAGGUAGCAAUAACAAUAACAAAUAUCUCAUCAACUGACAUGCAAUGCUAUUACCAUUUGGAUUCUGAUAUUGUGUUGCACAUUACCAUUUCAAAAAUAAAAAUUCCUG
rnacentral:lncRNA from 1 species